rnacentral:rRNA from 1 species
UACGAAGGGGGCUAGCGUUGUUCGGAAUUACUGGCGUAAAGCGCGCGCAGGCGGUCUUCCAAGUCAGUGGUGAAAGCCCGGAGCUCAACUCCGGAAUUGCCAUUGAAACUGUUGGACUUGAGGAUGAGAGAGGUGAGUGGAAUUCCCAGUGUAGAGGUGAAAUGCGCAGAUAUCAGGAGGAACACCGGUGGCGAAGGCGGGUCUCUGGGCCGAUACUGACGCUGAGGAGCGAAAGCGUGGGGAGCGAACAGG